UCCAGACUCCUACGGGAGGCAGCAGUGGGGAAUAUUGCACAAUGGGGGAAACCCUGAUGCAGCGACGCCGCGUGAGUGAAGAGGUAUUUCGGUAUGUAAAGCUCUAUCAGCAGGGAAGAAAAUGACGGUACCUGAUUAAGAAGCCCCGGCUAACUACGUGCCAGCAGCCGCGGUAAUACGUAGGGGGCAAGCGUUAUCCGGAUUUACUGGGUGUAAAGGGAGCGUAGACGGCAGCGCAAGUCUGAAGUGAAAUGCCGGGGCUUAACCCCGGAACUGCUUUGGAAACUGUGCAGCUAGAGUGCAGGAGAGGUAAGUGGAAUUCCUAGUGUAGCGGUGAAAUGCGUAGAUAUUAGGAGGAACAUCAGUGGCGAAGGCGACUUUCUGGACUGUAACUGACGCUGAGGCACGAAAGUGUGGGGAGCAAACAGGAUUAGAUACCCUCGUAA
rnacentral:rRNA from 1 species